rnacentral:rRNA from 1 species
CCUACGGGGGACAGCAGUGGGGAAUAUUGCACAAUGGGGGAAACCCUGAUGCAGCGACGCCGCGUGAGUGAAGAAGUAUUUCGGUAUGUAAAGCUCUAUCAGCAGGAACGAGACAAGACGGUACUUGACUAAGAAGCCUCGGCUAACUACGUGCCAGCAGCCGCGGUAAUACGUAGGGGGCAAGCGUUAUCCGGAAUCACUGGGUGUAAAGGGAGCGUAGACGGCUGAGCAAGCCUGAAGUGAAAGGCGGGGGCCCAACCCCCGGACUGCUUUGGGAACUGUACGGCUGGAGUGCAGGAGAGGUAAGUGGAAUUCCUAGUGUAGCGGUGAAAUGCGUAGAUAUUAGGAGGAACACCAGUGGCGAAGGCGGCUUACUGGACUGUAACUGACGUUGAGGCUCGAAAGCGUGGGGAGCGAACAGGAUUAGAUACCCGUGUAGUC